rnacentral:rRNA from 1 species
UAACACAUGCAAGUCGAGCGGCAGCGGAAAGUAGCUUGCUACUUUGCCGGCGAGCGGCGGACGGGUGAGUAAUGUCUGGGAAACUGCCUGAUGGAGGGGGAUAACUACUGGAAACGGUAGCUAAUACCGCAUAACGUCGCAAGACCAAAGAGGGGGACCUUCGGGCCUCUUGCCAUCAGAUGUGCCCAGAUGGGAUUAGCUAGUAGGUGGGGUAACGGCUCACCUAGGCGACGAUCCCUAGCUGGUCUGAGAGGAUGACCAGCCACACUGGAACUGAGACACGGUCCAGACUCCUACGGGAGGCAGCAGUGGGGAAUAUUGCACAAUGGGCGCAAGCCUGAUGCAGCCAUGCCGCGUGUAUGAAGAAGGCCCUCGGGUUGUAAAGUACUUUCAGCGGGGA